rnacentral:ncRNA from 2 species
UAACGAAAACAGCAUACGUUCCGUAUAAUUAGUGGGGAUAUGGCCCACAAGUUUCUACCGGGUGACCGUAAAUCAUCCGGCUACGGGAGAAAGCAUACCUAGG